CCUACGGGAGACAGCAGUGGGGAAUCUUGGGCAAUGGGCGCAAGCCUGACCCAGCAACGCCGCGUGAAGGAAGAAGGCCCUCGGGUUGUAAACUUCUUUUGUCAGGGACGAAACAAAUGACGGUACCUGACGAAUAAGUCACGGCUAACUACGUGCCAGCAGCCGCGGUAAUACGUAGGUGGCAAGCGUUAUCCGGAUUUACUGGGUGUAAAGGGCGUGUAGGCGGGAGAGCAAGUCAGAUGUGAAAUUCCAGGGCUCAACCCUGGAACUGCAUUUGAAACUGUUUUUCUUGAGUGAUGGAGAGGCAGGCGGAAGUCCGUGUGUAGCGGUGAAAUGCGUAGAUAUACGGAAGAACACCAGUGGCGAAGGCGGCCUGCUGGACAUUAACUGACGCUGAGGCGCGAAAGCGUGGGGAGCAAACAGGAUUAGAUACCCGGGUAGUC
rnacentral:rRNA from 1 species